rnacentral:rRNA from 1 species
UACGUAGGGGGCCAGCGUUGCUCGGAAUUACUGGGCGUAAAGGGUUCGUAGGCGGUGCGGCAAGUUGGGAGUGAAAUCUCUGGGCUUAACUCAGGGGCUGCUUUCAAAACUGCCGCGCUCGAGUGCGAGAGAGGUCAGUGGAAUUGCAGGUGUAGCGGUGAAAUGCGUAGAUAUCUGCAGGAACACCCGUGGCGAAGGCGACUUACUGGACACAUAUUGACGCUGAGGUGCGAAAGCGUGGGGAGCAAACAGG